UACGUAGGGGGCUAGCGUUGUCCGGAUUUAUUGGGCGUAAAGAGCGUGUAGGCGGCCAGCUAGGUCUGCUGUGAAAACUCGAGGCUCAACCUCGAGACGUCGGCGGAAACCAUCUGGCUAGAGUCCGGAAGAGGAGAGUGGAAUUCCUGGUGUAGCGGUGAAAUGCGCAGAUAUCAGGAAGAACACCCGUGGCGAAGGCGGCUCUCUGGGACGGUACUGACGCUGAGACGCGAAAGCGUGGGGAGCGAACAGGAU
rnacentral:rRNA from 1 species